rnacentral:tRNA from 1 species
UUGAAUGGCCCGCCGUAGUUAAGCUCAUUCAAAAUGAUGAACUGCUUUAUCUUGCCCACCAACGGGAUUGGUUAGAG